ACGAAAUCAUUUGUACACCCAACCCAGUGACAUGCAAUUUACCCAUGUAACAAACCUGCACAUGUACCCACUGAACCUAAAAUAAAAGUUAACACAAAAAGGAAAAAGUUUAUUAAGUAAAAAAAUUAGAAGAAGCUAAGGUUAAUUUAUUAUUGAAGAAAGAGAUUUCACUUCACGGCAGCUGUGGCCUGACUGUGAGGCGGCUGACCAGCCUCAGCUGAGAGUGGAG
rnacentral:lncRNA from 10 species